GGGUUGUGAGGUUAAGCGACUAAGCGUACACGGUGGAUGCCCUGGCAGUCAGAGGCGAUGAAGGACGUGCUAAUCUGCGAUAAGCGUCGGUAAGGUGAUAUGAACCGUUAUAACCGGCGAUUUCCGAAUGGGGAAACCCAGUGUGAUUCGUCACACUAUCAUUAACUGAAUCCAUAGGUUAAUGAGGCGAACCGGGGGAACUGAAACAUCUAAGUACCCCGAGGAAAAGAAAUCAACCGAGAUUCCCCCAGUAGCGGCGAGCGAACGGGGAGGAGCCCAGAGCCUGAAUCAGUGUGUGUGUUAGUGGAAGCGUCUGGAAAGGCGCGCGAUACAGGGUGACAGCCCCGUACACAAAAAUGCACAUACUGUGAGCUCGAUGAGUAGGGCGGGACACGUGGUAUCCUGUCUGAAUAUGGGGGGACCAUCCUCCAAGGCUAAAUACUCCUGACUGACCGAUAGUGAACCAGUACCGUGAGGGAAAGGCGAAAAGAACCCCGGCGAGGGGAGUGAAAAAGAACCUGAAACCGUGUACGUACAAGCAGUGGGAGCCUCUUUUAUGGGGUGACUGCGUACCUUUUGUAUAAUGGGUCAGCGACUUAUAUUCUGUAGCAAGGUUAACCGAAUAGGGGAGCCGAAGGGAAACCGAGUCUUAACCGGGCGUUAAGUUGCAGGGUAUAGACCCGAAACCCGGUGAUCUAGCCAUGGGCAGGUUGAAGGUUGGGUAACACUAACUGGAGGACCGAACCGACUAAUGUUGAAAAAUUAGCGGAUGACUUGUGGCUGGGGGUGAAAGGCCAAUCAAACCGGGAGAUAGCUGGUUCUCCCCGAAAGCUAUUUAGGUAGCGCCUCGUGAAUUCAUCUCCGGGGGUAGAGCACUGUUUCGGCAAGGGGGUCAUCCCGACUUACCAACCCGAUGCAAACUGCGAAUACCGGAGAAUGUUAUCACGGGAGACACACGGCGGGUGCUAACGUCCGUCGUGAAGAGGGAAACAACCCAGACCGCCAGCUAAGGUCCCAAAGUCAUGGUUAAGUGGGAAACGAUGUGGGAAGGCCCAGACAGCCAGGAUGUUGGCUUAGAAGCAGCCAUCAUUUAAAGAAAGCGUAAUAGCUCACUGGUCGAGUCGGCCUGCGCGGAAGAUGUAACGGGGCUAAACCAUGCACCGAAGCUGCGGCAGCGACACUGUGUGUUGUUGGGUAGGGGAGCGUUCUGUAAGCCUGUGAAGGUGUGCUGUGAGGCAUGCUGGAGGUAUCAGAAGUGCGAAUGCUGACAUAAGUAACGAUAAAGCGGGUGAAAAGCCCGCUCGCCGGAAGACCAAGGGUUCCUGUCCAACGUUAAUCGGGGCAGGGUGAGUCGACCCCUAAGGCGAGGCCGAAAGGCGUAGUCGAUGGGAAACAGGUUAAUAUUCCUGUACUUGGUGUUACUGCGAAGGGGGGACGGAGAAGGCUAUGUUGGCCGGGCGACGGUUGUCCCGGUUUAAGCGUGUAGGCUGGUUUUCCAGGCAAAUCCGGAAAAUCAAGGCUGAGGCGUGAUGACGAGGCACUACGGUGCUGAAGCAACAAAUGCCCUGCUUCCAGGAAAAGCCUCUAAGCAUCAGGUAACAUCAAAUCGUACCCCAAACCGACACAGGUGGUCAGGUAGAGAAUACCAAGGCGCUUGAGAGAACUCGGGUGAAGGAACUAGGCAAAAUGGUGCCGUAACUUCGGGAGAAGGCACGCUGAUAUGUAGGUGAAGUCCCUCGCGGAUGGAGCUGAAAUCAGUCGAAGAUACCAGCUGGCUGCAACUGUUUAUUAAAAACACAGCACUGUGCAAACACGAAAGUGGACGUAUACGGUGUGACGCCUGCCCGGUGCCGGAAGGUUAAUUGAUGGGGUCAGCGCAAGCGAAGCUCUUGAUCGAAGCCCCGGUAAACGGCGGCCGUAACUAUAACGGUCCUAAGGUAGCGAAAUUCCUUGUCGGGUAAGUUCCGACCUGCACGAAUGGCGUAAUGAUGGCCAGGCUGUCUCCACCCGAGACUCAGUGAAAUUGAACUCGCUGUGAAGAUGCAGUGUACCCGCGGCAAGACGGAAAGACCCCGUGAACCUUUACUAUAGCUUGACACUGAACAUUGAGCCUUGAUGUGUAGGAUAGGUGGGAGGCUUUGAAGUGUGGACGCCAGUCUGCAUGGAGCCGACCUUGAAAUACCACCCUUUAAUGUUUGAUGUUCUAACGUGGACCCGUGAUCCGGGUUGCGGACAGUGUCUGGUGGGUAGUUUGACUGGGGCGGUCUCCUCCUAAAGAGUAACGGAGGAGCACGAAGGUUGGCUAAUCCUGGUCGGACAUCAGGAGGUUAGUGCAAUGGCAUAAGCCAGCUUGACUGCGAGCGUGACGGCGCGAGCAGGUGCGAAAGCAGGUCAUAGUGAUCCGGUGGUUCUGAAUGGAAGGGCCAUCGCUCAACGGAUAAAAGGUACUCCGGGGAUAACAGGCUGAUACCGCCCAAGAGUUCAUAUCGACGGCGGUGUUUGGCACCUCGAUGUCGGCUCAUCACAUCCUGGGGCUGAAGUAGGUCCCAAGGGUAUGGCUGUUCGCCAUUUAAAGUGGUACGCGAGCUGGGUUUAGAACGUCGUGAGACAGUUCGGUCCCUAUCUGCCGUGGGCGCUGGAGAACUGAGGGGGGCUGCUCCUAGUACGAGAGGACCGGAGUGGACGCAUCACUGGUGUUCGGGUUGUCAUGCCAAUGGCACUGCCCGGUAGCUAAAUGCGGAAGAGAUAAGUGCUGAAAGCAUCUAAGCACGAAACUUGCCCCGAGAUGAGUUCUCCCUGACCCUUUAAGGGUCCUGAAGGAACGUUGAAGACGACGACGUUGAUAGGCCGGGUGUGUAAGCGCAGCGAUGCGUUGAGCUAACCGGUACUAAUGAACCGUGAGGCUUAACCUUACAACGCCGAAGGUGUUU
rnacentral:rRNA from 1 species